rnacentral:rRNA from 2 species
UGUAAAGUUCAAGCUCCGAUUAUGAGGGCGAAACCGCGAAUGGCUCAUUAAAUCAGUCGUAAUCUACUUGAUUGUUUAAAGGUUAUAUGGAUAACUGUGGUAAUUCUAGAGCUAAUACAUGCACAAAGAGGGCGACUCUCCGCAAGGGGAGAAGCUCUGCGUUUAUUAGACUAAGACCAAUGAAUGCGGCAACGUAUUCUUAAAUUAAGGUGACUCUGAGUAAAUAAUGGGUGAAAGCCCAUGAUGCUGACCUGACAUACCAAAAAGCUCGCAAGGGCUUGUCAGGCAAAUCAAUCGAGCGUCUGCUCUAUCAACUGUGGAUGGUAGGAUAAUUGCCUACCAUGGUGAUGACGGGUAACGGGGAGUUAGGGCUCGACUCCGGAGAACAAGCCUGAGAAACGGCUAGUAGGACUAAGGUCUGCAGCAGGCGCGAAACUUACACAAUGCUAGAUUAAAAUUAGCGAUGUAGUGAAGAAAAAUAACGAUGUACUUCCAUUUAAACAUGGUAGUACAAUUGGAAUGAGACGACUAUAAAUGAGUUAGUCGAGUAACAAAUGGAGGGCAAGUCUGGUGCCAGCAGCCGCGGUAAUUCCAGCUCCAUUAGCAUACAUUAAAGUUGUUGCGGUUAAAAAGCUCGUAGUUGAAUUUUAGGCGGGCUCUAUUGGGGUGCAAUCGUUAAGGUUCUUUGGCUUUAGGGUUCGUCCUUAGCCAAUGUAACUGGUUGUCAUCUUCCUAUAGGAACCCGCUGUUUCGUCACUUAAUCGAGUGCGAAGCGGGCUGGUACAAACGGAUUGGUUUAAUUAUCAAUCCUUGUUUCAGCAUGUUUACCUUGAGAAAAUUAGAGUGCUCACAGCAGGCAGUUGGGGUGUAAAAGCUCCUUUAUGCUUGAAUAAUGUUGCAUGGAAUAAUAGAAUACGGCCUCGGUUCUAUUCUGUUGGUCUUAUAGAACAACAAACAAGUUGGUUAAAGCGAUCAAAAGUCUAUUUGUGGACGUGAUCUUUUGGCUUUUCAUUUGUUGCCUGGAGGGUAAAAUUUUCAGCGCCCUAUGUUAGCUAUUGAUCAUCAAGCGUCCCUUAUAUGGCUAGCUUUCUAAUCAACUGAGGCAAUGGUUAAAAGAAAUAGUCGCGGCGGCAUCAGUACUGCAUCGUGAGAGGUGAAAUUCUUAGACCGAUGCAAGACUAACUGAAGCGAAAGCGUUUGCCGAGGAUAUUUUCAUUAAUCAAGAACGAAAGUUAGAGGUUCGAAGGCGAUCAGAUACCGCCCUAGUUCUAACCAUAAACGUUGCCAACUAGCAAUUGGGUUGCGAUUCCUUUAAUCGAAGCUUAAAACACUUCGAUCAUUAUGAUCCACCCAGCGGCUCUCGUAGGGAAACCAAAGUGUUUGGGUUCCGGGGGAAGUAUGAUUGCAAAGUUGAAACUUAAAGGAAUUGACGGAAGGGCACCACCAGGAGUGGAGCCUGCGGCUUAAUUUGACUCAACACGGGGAAACUUACUAGAUUAGAACUCUGGAAUGAUUGACAGAUUGAUAGCUCUUUCUUGAUUCAGAGGAUGGUGGUGCAUGGCCGUUCUUGAUUCGUAUUCCGAAACGUCUGCUUAAUUGCGAUAACGAGUGAGACCUCAUCCAACUAACUAGUCGUUUUAGUGCGCUGUGGAACGCAAAAGUCUGGAUAGGAAUCGGUUAAUGGUGGUGUAGUUUUCGGAUUGCAUUGCUAUUGGCUACCUGUUUUAGAUGUUCUCUGCUCGCUAGCGGACUUCUUAGAGGGAUAAACGGUGUUUUAGCCGUAAGAAACGAGGCAAUAACAGGUCUGUGAUGCCCUUAGAUACUCUAGGCCGCACGCGUGCUACAAUGGCGUGUGCAAAAAGCUUGUUCGAGGUUUGUCUAAAGAGAACUAUUUAUUUGGUUGCGUGUUUGGGAUUUCGGUUUUAGAUGCGUAAUCGGUAGAUGGGUGACUUUAGUUAGCAAGCCGAGAGAAACCUUAGUCGAAAGAUUAGGGCAAUCAUAAAUACACGCCGUGAUUUGGGAUUGGGGAUUGCAAUUGUUGCCCAUGAACGAGGAAUUCCCAGUAAGCGCAAUUCAUCAUAUUGCGUUGAUUACGUCCCUGCCCUUUGUACACACCGCCCGUCGCUACUACCGAUUGGAAGUUUUAGUGAGGCAUUUGGACCUGCCGUCCGUGGGAUGGGAAACUAUUCUUGGAUGGCGGGGAAGUCUGUCGAACUCAAAUUUCUAGAGGAAGUAAAAGUCGUAACAAGGUUUCCGU